rnacentral:rRNA from 1 species
GACGAACGCUGGCGGCGUGCCUAAUACAUGCAAGUAGAACGCUGAAGAGAGGAGCUUGCUCUUCUUGGAUGAGUUGCGAACGGGUGAGUAACGCGUAGGUAACCUGCCUGGUAGCGGGGGAUAACUAUUGGAAACGAUAGCUAAUACCGCAUAAAAUGGAUUAUCGCAUGAUAAUCCAUUGAAAGGUGCAAAUGCAUCACUACCAGAUGGACCUGCGUUGUAUUAGCUAGUUGGUGGGGUAACGGCUCACCAAGGCAACGAUACAUAGCCGACCUGAGAGGGUGAUCGGCCACACUGGGACUGAGACACGGCCCAGACUCCUACGGGAGGCAGCAGUAGGGAAUCUUCGGCAAUGGACGGAAGUCUGACCGAGCAACGCCGCGUGAGUGAAGAAGGUUUUCGGAUCGUAAAGCUCUGUUGUAAGAGAAGAACGAGUGUGAGAG